rnacentral:tRNA from 1 species
AAGGGAGACCUAAUUCGGGUAGAAGACGAAAAAAUAGUAGUCGAAACCAAGAAUCAAUCCCAAAAGGUCGGAACGAGGUAUGUGGCUUUCAAACUAGGUUCUGGGUUCACAAAAGACCUGAAUCAGGAACAAGGGCUGUUAGCUCAGGUGGUUAGAGCGCACCCCUGAUAAGGGUGAGGUCCCUGGUUCGAGUCCAGGAUGGCCCACCUGCACAGGUGGCAAAAACAAGAGAAACGAGGAAUCAGCACCUUAUCUUACUUACAUAGUAAGAGAGAAUGCUGGCUCUGAGUAAAGAGUCCAGAGGAAUCUUGAAAACUGCAUAGAGCUAGGUGAAAAAGCCAAAAAAGAAGACCGCAA